AGCCUAAACUAGCAAGUAAUUGCUGGCAUGGUGAAAAGUCCAAUCAGACAUAAAAAACCCAUCAUGGGGUUGUCUGAUUGGCCAUAUCGGGAAACCGGUAUGAAUGGCUUCGGCCAU
rnacentral:sRNA from 1 species